rnacentral:rRNA from 1 species
CAGCCGCGGUAAUUCCAGCUCCAAUAGCGUAUAUUAAAGUUGUUGCAGUUAAAAAGCUCGUAGUUGAAUUUCGGGAUCAAUACGUCGGUCGUGCCUUUGGUAUGUACUGGCGUUGUUGGUUUCUCCUUUCUGAGGAGCCAUGAUGCCAUUAAUUUGGUGUCGUGGGGAAUCAGGACUGUUACUUUGAAAAAAUUAGAGUGUUUAAAGCAGGCACACGCUUGAAUACAUUAGCAUGGAAUAAUGAAAUAGGACGUUCGAUUCUAUUUUGUUGGUUUCUAGGAUCAACGUAAUGAUUAAUAGGGAUAGUUGGGGGCAUUAGUAUUCAAUUGUCAGAGGUGAAAUUCUUGGAUUUAUUGAAGACUAACUACUGCGAAAGCAUUUGCCAAGGAUGUUUUCAUUAAUCAAGAACGAAAGUUAGGGGAUCGAAGACGAUCAGAUACCGUCGUAGUCUUAACCAUAAACUAUGCCGACUAGGGAUCGGAUGAUGUUAAUUUUUUAAUGACUC